rnacentral:rRNA from 1 species
GACGAACGCUGGCGGCGUGCUUAACACAUGCAAGUCGAACGGUAAGGCCCUUCGGGGUACACGAGUGGCGAACGGGUGAGUAACACGUGGGUGAUCUGCCCUGCACUUCGGGAUAAGCUUGGGAAACUGGGUCUAAUACCGGAUAGGACCACGGUCUGCAUGGAUUGUGGUGGAAAGCUUUUUGCGGUGUGGGAUGGGCCCGCGGCCUAUCAGCUUGUUGGUGGGGUGAUGGCCUACCAAGGCGACGACGGGUAGCCGGCCUGAGAGGGUGUCCGGCCACACUGGGACUGAGAUACGGCCCAGACUCCUACGGGAGGCAGCAGUGGGGAAUAUUGCACAAUGGGCGCAAGCCUGAUGCAGCGACGCCGCGUGGGGGAUGACGGCCUUCGGGUUGUAAACCGUCUUUCAGCAGGGACGAAGGGUGACUGACGGUACCUGUAGAAGAAGCACCGGCCAACUACGUAG